rnacentral:rRNA from 1 species
GGUUAAGUUAGAAAGGGCGCACGGUGGAUGCCUUGACACUAGGAGUCGAUGAAGGACGGGACUAACGCCGAUAUGCUUCGGGGAGCUGUAAGUAAGCUUUGAUCCGAAGAUUUCCGAAUGGGGAAACCCACCAUACGUAAUGGUAUGGUAUCCUUAUCUGAAUACAUAGGGUAAGGAAGACAGACCCAGGGAACUGAAACAUCUAAGUACCUGGAGGAAGAGAAAGCAAAUGCGAUUUCCUGAGUAGCGGCGAGCGAAACGGAACAUAGCCCAAACCAAGAGGCUUGCCUCUUGGGGUUGUAGGACAUUCUAUACGGAGUUACAAAGGAACGAGGUAGACGAAGCGACCUGGAAAGGUCCGUCGUAGAGGGUAACAACCCCGUAGUCGAAACUUCGUUCUCUCUUGAAUGUAUCCUGAGUACGGCGGAACACGUGAAAUUCCGUCGGAAUCUGGGAGGACCAUCUCCCAAGGCUAAAUACUCCCUAGUGAUCGAUAGUGAACCAGUACCGUGAGGGAAAGGUGAAAAGCACCCCGGAAGGGGAGUGAAAGAGAUCCUGAAACCGUGUGCCUACAAAUAGUCAGAGCCCGUUAACGGGUGAUGGCGUGCCUUUUGUAGAAUGAACCGGCGAGUUACGAUCCCGUGCAAGGUUAAGCUGAAGAGGCGGAGCCGCAGCGAAAGCGAGUCUGAAUAGGGCGUUUAGUACGUGGUCGUAGACCCGAAACCAGGUGAUCUACCCAUGUCCAGGGUGAAGUUCAGGUAACACUGAAUGGAGGCCCGAACCCACGCACGUUGAAAAGUGCGGGGAUGAGGUGUGGGUAGCGGAGAAAUUCCAAUCGAACCUGGAGAUAGCUGGUUCUCCCCGAAAUAGCUUUAGGGCUAGCCUUAAGUGUAAGAGUCUUGGAGGUAGAGCACUGAUUGGACUAGGGGUCCUCAUCGGAUUACCGAAUUCAGUCAAACUCCGAAUGCCAAUGACUUAUCCUUAGGAGUCAGACUGCGAGUGAUAAGAUCCGUAGUCAAAAGGGAAACAGCCCAGACCGCCAGCUAAGGUCCCAAAGUGUGUAUUAAGUGGAAAAGGAUGUGGAGUUGCUUAGACAACUAGGAUGUUGGCUUAGAAGCAGCCACCAUUUAAAGAGUGCGUAAUAGCUCACUAGUCGAGUGACUCUGCGCCGAAAAUGUACCGGGGCUAAAUACACCACCGAAGCUGCGGAUUGAUACCGAAUGGUAUCAGUGGUAGGGGAGCGUUCUAAGGACAGUGAAGUCAGACCGGAAGGACUGGUGGAGUGCUUAGAAGUGAGAAUGCCGGUAUGAGUAGCGAAAGACGGGUGAGAAUCCCGUCCACCGAAUGCCUAAGGUUUCCUGAGGAAGGCUCGUCCGCUCAGGGUUAGUCAGGACCUAAGCCGAGGCCGACAGGCGUAGGCGAUGGACAACAGGUUGAUAUUCCUGUACCACCUCUUUAUCGUUUGAGCAAUGGAGGGACGCAGAAGGAUAGAAGAAGCGUGCGAUUGGUUGUGCACGUCCAAGCAGUUAGGCUGAUAAGUAGGCAAAUCCGCUUAUCGUGAAGGCUGAGCUGUGAUGGGGAAGCUCCUUAUGGAGCGAAGUCUUUGAUUCCCCGCUGCCAAGAAAAGCUUCUAGCGAGAUAAAAGGUGCCUGUACCGCAAACCGACACAGGUAGGCGAGGAGAGAAUCCUAAGGUGUGCGAGAGAACUCUGGUUAAGGAACUCGGCAAAAUGACCCCGUAACUUCGGGAGAAGGGGUGCUUUCUUAACGGAAAGCCGCAGUGAAUAGGCCCAAGCGACUGUUUAGCAAAAACACAGCUCUCUGCGAAGCCGUAAGGCGAAGUAUAGGGGGUGACACCUGCCCGGUGCUGGAAGGUUAAGGAGAGGGGUUAGCGUAAGCGAAGCUCUGAACUGAAGCCCCAGUAAACGGCGGCCGUAACUAUAACGGUCCUAAGGUAGCGAAAUUCCUUGUCGGGUAAGUUCCGACCCGCACGAAAGGUGUAACGAUUUGGGCACUGUCUCAACCAGAGACUCGGUGAAAUUAUAGUACCUGUGAAGAUGCAGGUUACCCGCGACAGGACGGAAAGACCCCGUGGAGCUUUACUGUAGCCUGAUAUUGAAUUUUGGUACAGUUUGUACAGGAUAGGCGGGAGCCUUUGAAACCGGAGCGCUAGCUUCGGUGGAGGCGCUGGUGGGAUACCGCCCUGACUGUAUUGAAAUUCUAACCUACGGGUCUUAUCGACCCGGGAGACAGUGUCAGGUGGGCAGUUUGACUGGGGCGGUCGCCUCCUAAAGUGUAACGGAGGCGCCCAAAGGUUCCCUCAGAAUGGUUGGAAAUCAUUCGUAGAGUGCAAAGGCAUAAGGGAGCUUGACUGCGAGACCUACAAGUCGAGCAGGGACGAAAGUCGGGCUUAGUGAUCCGGUGGUUCCGCAUGGAAGGGCCAUCGCUCAACGGAUAAAAGCUACCCCGGGGAUAACAGGCUUAUCUCCCCCAAGAGUCCACAUCGACGGGGAGGUUUGGCACCUCGAUGUCGGCUCAUCGCAUCCUGGGGCUGUAGUCGGUCCCAAGGGUUGGGCUGUUCGCCCAUUAAAGCGGUACGCGAGCUGGGUUCAGAACGUCGUGAGACAGUUCGGUCCCUAUCCGUCGUGGGCGUAGGAAAUUUGAGAGGAGCUGUCCUUAGUACGAGAGGACCGGGAUGGACGCACCGCUGGUGUACCAGUUGUUCUGCCAAGGGCAUAGCUGGGUAGCUAUGUGCGGAAGGGAUAAGUGCUGAAAGCAUCUAAGCAUGAAGCCCCCCUCAAGAUGAGAUUUCCCAUAGCGUAAGCUAGUAAGAUCCCUGAAAGAUGAUCAGGUUGAUAGGUUCGAGGUGGAAGCAUGGUGACAUGUGGAGCUGACGAAUACUAAUAGAUCGAGGACUUAACCAUAUA